AUUGAACGCUGGCGGCAUGCUUUACACAUGCAAGUCGAACGGUAACAGGCCGCAAGGUGCUGACGAGUGGCGAACGGGUGAGUAAUGCAUCGGAACGUGCCCAGUCGUGGGGGAUAACGCAGCGAAAGCUGCGCUAAUACCGCAUACGAUCUAUGGAUGAAAGCGGGGGACCGUAAGGCCUCGCGCGAUUGGAGCGGCCGAUGUCAGAUUAGGUAGUUGGUGGGGUAAAGGCUCACCAAGCCAACGAUCUGUAGCUGGUCUGAGAGGACGACCAGCGACACUGGGACUGAGACACGGACCAGAAUCAUACGGGAGGCAGCAGUGGGGAAUUUUGGACAAUGGGCGCAAGCCUGAUCCAGCAAUGCCGCGUGCAGGAAGAAGGCCUUCGGGUUGUAAACUGCUUUUGUACGGAACGAAACGGUCCUGGUUAAUACCCGGGGCUAAUGACGGUACCGUAAGAAUAAGCACCGGCUAACUACGUGCCAGCCGCCGCGGUAACAC
rnacentral:rRNA from 1 species